UGGGGAAUAUUGGACAAUGGGCGCAAGCCUGAUUCAGCCAUGCCGCGUGAGUGAUGAAGGCCUUAGGGUUGUAAAGCUCUUUUAGCGGGGAAGAUAAUGACGGUACCCGCAGAAAAAGCCCCGGCUAACUUCGUGCCAGCAGCCGCGGUAAUACGAAGGGGGCUAGCGUUGCUCGGAAUUACUGGGCGUAAAGCGCACGUAGGCGGACUCUUAAGUCGGUGGUGAAAUCCUGGAGCUCAACUCCAGAACUGCCUUCGAUACUGGGAGUCUUGAGUUCGGGAGAGGUGAGUGGAACUGCUAGUGUAGAGGUGAAAUUCGUAGAUAUUCGCAAGAACACCAGUGGCGAAGGCGGCUCACUGGCCCGAUACUGACGCUGAGGUGCGAAAGCGUGGGGAGCAAACA
rnacentral:rRNA from 1 species